AGAUGUUCCCAGGACGCGAGCUAAGUCUGCCCGGCCGGCGCGCGCCGCUUCCGCUUUGGUGGGAAGGACCUCCCUUCCCCCUUAUAGAAACACUUUCUCCAGGCCGGGCCGGGCUUGGUAAACCUCAGCCGUGCCUGGGUAGAGGACGCCGGGCUGGGCCGAGCGGGGGUGGAAUGAGGGCGUCUAGAACAGAGAAAACUAAGUAGGAUGGGGUCGUCCCCCCAGUAAUCUGGAAAACAGUUACAGCAACAGGCUCCUCUCAUCAGACGGCAGUGCUGGUCGUUUCCUCACUGGUUUGCGGGGAAGGCUGGGCAGAAAAAGGAUGCAACCUUGUUCUCAACCACUUGCUAUCUCGAUAGGGUCUUGCUGUGUCACCCAGAUUGGAGUGCAGUGGUGUGAUCACAGCUCACUGCAGCCUUGACCUCUAGGCUCAAGUGAGCCCCUACCAAGCAGCUGGGACUACAAGUGCGCACCACCAUACCCAGCUAAUUUUUUCAUUUUUUGUAGAGACAGGGUCUCACUGUAUUGCUCAGGCUGGUCUUGAACUCCUGAGAUCAAGCGAUCCUCCCACUGUGGCCUCCCAAAGUGCUGGGAUUAUAGAUGUGAGCUACCAUGCCUGGCCUCAAAACAUUUUUGUAAUCUGGCUGUUUUCCAGUUGGAUGGACUCUGAGUGCAAUCUCAAUGUCUUUCCUGAUCAGUAAGAGGAAGAAAGGAGCUGUUGUAUAAUCUUUGGUCCACUUGCUAUAUAGGAAUAGAUCUUUACUGCUACAUAUACAUAAUUCUGUACGGAACAGUCAUGUUCCUUGGAUUCUGACAGCAUCGCCAAUAUGUGCUUUGAAACCUCCUACCUGGCACAGAUAUGA
rnacentral:lncRNA from 1 species